rnacentral:rRNA from 1 species
CGACGUAUGCCUAUCCCGCAUCGGCCUGAGGGGAUUGGGACGCAAGGCUCAUGCUUAGAGCGGCCGAGUUGGAUAGCUAGUUGGUGGGUUAAGGUCACCUAUGGCGACGAUCAGUAGCUGCUGAGAGACGAUCAGCCCACUGGACUGAGACACGUCCAGACUCUACGGAGCAGCAGUGGGGAUUUGACAUGGCGAAGCCUGAUCCAGCAUGCGCGUGUGUGAGAGCUUCGGGUUGUAAAGCACUUUGUCCGGAAAGAAAUGGCUCUGGUUAAUACCUGGGGUCGAUGACGUACCGGAAGAUAAGGACCGGCUAACUACGUGCCAGCAGCGCGGUAAUACGUAGGGUCAAGCGUUAAUCGGAAUUACUGGGCGUAAAGCGUGCGCAGGCGGGUUGUGCAAGACCGAUGUGAAAUCCCCGAGCUUAACUUGGGAAUUGCAUUGGUGACUGCACGGCUAGAGUGUGUCAGAGGGGGGUAGAAUUCCACGUGUAGCAGUGAAAUGCGUAGAGAUGUGGAGGAAUACCGAUGGCGAAGGCAGCCCCCUGGGAUAACACUGACGCUCAUGCACGAAAGCGUGGGGAGCAAACAGGAUUAGAUACCCUGGUAGUCCACGCCCUAAACGAUGUCAACUAGUUGUUGGGGAUUCAUUUCCUUAGUAACGUAGCUAACGCGUGAAGUUGACCGCCUGGGGAGUACGGUCGCAAGAUUAAAACUCAAAGGAAUUGACGGGGACCCGCACAAGCGGUGGAUGAUGUGGAUUAAUUCGAUGCAACGCGAAAAACCUUACCUACCCUUGACAUGCCACUAACGAAGCAGAGAUGCAUUAGGUGCUCGAAAGAGAAAGUGGACACAGGUGCUGCAUGGCUGUCGUCAGCUCGUGUCGUGAGAUGUUGGGUUAAGUCCCGCAACGAGCGCAACCCUUGUCUCUAGUUGCUACGAAAGGGCACUCUAGAGAGACUGCCGGUGACAAACCGGAGGAAGGUGGGGAUGACGUCAAGUCCUCAUGGCCCUUAUGGGUAGGGCUUCACACGUCUUACAAUGGUGCAUACAGAGGGUUGCCAAGCCGCGAGGUGGAGCUAAUCCCAGAAAAUGCAUCGUAGUCCGGAUCGUAGUCUGCAACUCUGACUACGUGAAGCUGGAAUCGCUAGUAAUCGCGGAUCAGCAUGACGCUGCAAUCG